rnacentral:rRNA from 1 species
AACGAACGCUGGCGGCAGGCUUAACACAUGCAAGUCGAGCGCCCCGCAAGGGGAGCGGCAGACGGGUGAGUAACGCGUGGGAACGUACCUUUUGGUUCGGAACAACUCUGGGAAACUGGAGCUAAUACCGGAUAAGCCCUAACGGGGAAAGAUUUAUCGACGAAAGCUCGGCCCGCGUCUGAUUAGCUAGUUGGUGAGGUAAUGUCUCACCAAGGCGACGAUCAGUAGCUGGUCUGAGAGGAUGAUCAGACACACUGGGGCUGAGACACGGCCCGGACUCCUACGGGAGGCAGCAGUGGGGAAUAGUGGACAAUGGGCGCAAGCCUGAUCCAGCCAUGCCGCGUGAGUGAUGAAGGCCUUAGGGUUGUAAAGCUCUUUUGUCCGGGAAGAUAAUGACUGUACCGGAAGAAUAAGCCCCGGCUAACUUCGUG